rnacentral:rRNA from 1 species
ACUCAAAUGAAUUGACGGGGACCCGCACAAGCGGUGGAGCAUGUGGAUUAAUUCGAAGCAACGCGAAGAACCUUACCAAGGCUUGACAUCCCGGCGAAUAUGUUAGAGAUAACAUAGGCCCUUCGGGGACGCCGGAGACAGGUGGUGCAUGGUUGUCGUCAGCUCGUGUCGUGAGAUGUUGGGUUAAGUCCCGCAACGAGCGCAACCCCUGCCCUUAGUAGCUAUCGGAUAAAGCCGGGCACUUUAGGGGGACUGCCGUGGAUAACACGGAGGAAGGUGGGGACGAUGUCAAAUCAUCAUGCCCCUUAUGUCUUGGGCAUCACACGUGCUACAAUGGCCCCAACAAAGUGAAGCAACCCAGCGAUGGUGAGCAAACCACAAAAAGGGGUCCCAGUUCGGAUUGCAGCCUGCAACUCGGCUGUAUGAAGUUGGAAUCGCUAGUAAUCGCGAAUCAGCACGUCGCGGUGAAUACGUUCCCGGGUCUUGCACACACCGCCCGU